rnacentral:rRNA from 1 species
GCAUAUCAAUAAGCGGAGGAAAAGAAACUAACAAGGAUUCCCUUAGUAACGGCGAGUGAAGAGGGAAGAGCUCAAAUUUUAAAUCUAUCAUGUUGUACAUGAUCGAGUUGUAAUUUGAAGAAGCGUUUUCUCGUACUUUAUGAUCAGUAUAAGUUCUCUUGGAACAGGACAUCAUAGAGGGUGAUAAUCCCGUCUGUUACUGAUUGUGAGGUUCGUUUAUGAUACGCUUUCAAAGAGUCGAGUUGUUUGGGAUUGCAGCUCCAAAUGGGUGGUAAACAUCAUCUAAGGCUAAAUAUUUGCGAGAGACCGAUAGCGAACAAGUACCGUGAGGGAAAGAUGAAAAGAACUUUGAAAAGAGAGUUAAAAAGUAUGUGAAAUUGUUGAAAGGGAAACGAUUGAAGUCAGUCGUGCAGUCAUCAAUUCAGCGGUUAACAUUUUAUGUUUCCGUGUAAUUUGGUGUCUGUUGGUUAGCAUCAAUUUUGAUUGUUAUAAAAAGGUUAAGGGGAUGUGGCUCCUUCGGGAGUGUUAUAACCCUUAGCGUAAUGUGACGAUUAGGAUUGAGGUUUGCAACGAAUACCUUUUAGGGCAGUUUCACCUGGCCUCUCGUGGAAUUAUAGAUAGUUAAGAGCAUGCUCUUACUGUUUAUGAUUCUACGAAAAGGUUGGAGUGUAAAACUAAUUCGUUAAGGAUGUUGACGUA